CAGCUCACACUAUCCAUCUAAUUUGAUAGUUCUUAUAUCUAUUUUGGGUAGUGGCAUGUAUAUAUAGAUGAAUAUAUGUGUUUUAUGAAUGUUUUUAGAUGUAGUUAAUGAGUAAGAUUUGUGGUUUUUCUUAGAGUAUAUUUUCUAAUGAUGGAACAAGUAUACAUAUAUAAUGCAUAGAUGGACACCUUGGUGUGUAGUUGUUGAAUGAUGUGCUUUAUAGUCAUAGUGUGAUGCUUUAUUUUGUAAUGACAUAUAUAAGAG
rnacentral:lncRNA from 1 species